CUACGUGCCAGCAGCCGCGGUAAUACGGAAGGUCCAGGCGUUAUCCGGAUUUAUUGGGUUUAAAGGGAGCGUAGGCGGAUUGUUAAGUCAGCGGUUAAAGGGUGUGGCUCAACCAUGCAUUGCCGUUGAAACUGGCGAUCUUGAGUGCAGACAGGGAUGCCGGAAUUCGUGGUGUAGCGGUGAAAUGCUUAGAUAUCCUGAAGAACUCCGAUCGCGAAGGCAGCCAUCCGGAGCGUAACUGACGCUGAGGCUCGAAGGUGCGGGUAUCAAACAGGAUUAGAUACCCUGGUAGUCCGCACGGUAAACGAUGAAUACUCGCAGUUCGGUUAUUAUGGUCGAGCUGUCCAGCGAAAGCGUUAAGUAUUCCACCUGGGGAGUACGCCGGCAACGGUGAAACUCAAAGGAAUUGACGGGGGCCCGCACAAGCGGAGGAACAUGUGGUUUAAUUCGAUGAUACGCGAGGAACCUUACCCGGGCUUGAAC
rnacentral:rRNA from 1 species